rnacentral:rRNA from 1 species
UACAGAGGUCUCAAGCGUUGUUCGGAUUCAUUGGGCGUAAAGGGUGCGUAGGCGGCGCGGUAAGUCGGAUGUGAAAUCUCGGAGCUUAACUUCGAAACUGCAUUCGAUACUGCCGUGCUUGAGGACUGGAGAGGAGACUGGAAUUUACGGUGUAGCGGUGAAAUGCGUAGAUGUCGUAAGGAAGACCAGUGGCGAAGGCGGGUCUCUGGACAGUUCCUGACGCUGAGGCACGAAGGUCAGGGGAGCAAACGGG